UUUUAUGUUCGCGGUUCUCGGAGCGCGAGGGCUCCGGGUUUUAGGUCUAUAAAAGGUUCGGGGGGAAGGAGUGCGUGUGUGUAGCAGAUGGAGUGCGUGUGUGUAUGGAUUGAUUUUAGGGGUGGAUCGGUGGCGGUGGCGGUGGAGGCACGCGAGCCGGCUAUGCCAGCGCGGCGACGGGGAGGGUGGGGGCCACAACUUAAGUCUUCGAGGACAGUUUAGACGACACGGAGGGGUGGUAGGCGUCGAACUCCACGGCGACCCGAUAGACGAGUGGACCGCCCGCAGCGCGGGCGACCAAGCGGGAGCAGCGGCGGAGAGGGUCGAGGCCGGUAAAGAAGUCAUUGAAUGUAGGUCGUCGGGUACCAUAGCUGGAGUUGGUGGCCGCUGGGGGCAGAACGGGGCGGAGAUUCAGGUCGUCGACGUCGAAUGUCCAACUCCUUGAACAGAUGCUGGGCGUCUCUCUUCUGUAUAAACAGUUUCUUGUAUGUACAUUUUGACCUCAAAGAGGGUGUGAUUCGUCUCCGGGAUUAAUUUGUUGAACUACGUCGUUGACCGUAAAGGAGUUCGUUCGCUUUUACACCUUUGUGGGAGUCUCUAACAUCGUGUUUCUACCGCUGCUCCUUGAAGAUUAAAUCUACUGAAAAGCAUACACUAUAAUCCAUCAUAUCGUAGACCCUCCUAGUUAGCGAACCCAGACCUCCUAGUCAAUUCGUGUACUUUUUCCUCUGCUGUUUACCCCUACAUAAUAGAGAAGAGUAAAAAACAGAAUUAAGAUAUAAUGUAUCGUAUAAAAAAUAAAAUAAUAUAUAUAUGAACAGCAUAGGGGAUUAACGACAAAACCUUUUACAACAUAGGGUACAGGGGAUUACACAUAGCGGUACAGAGGUAGGGGCAUACGUACGAAGAAUCGAAUAUAGAACACACGACGACAAGAGAUACGCUCACAAAAAGUACGUAAAAACAAGUUUAAUUAUUCGGCGUUAUGUUUACUAGUAUUCAAAGUGACAAAAAUUCAGCGCGCUGAUCAGUAGCUAGCGUGCCGGUCCAAACUGAGAUUGGGGAGUUGAUCAGCUCUGAUUAGCUAGCCGGUACGAGCUGGAGCGUUGGGCCCUUGCUGAGUAGCAGAGCUUUUGGAACUAUUCAGACGUAAAGGAUGAUCGAUAUGACUUCGAACGAUAGAUAAACUCUAGUCGGUGUUAUUUUUAACUGGUUAUAAAAAGUCCCAUCGUAUAAAUAAGUCAUGGUGUUUAACCCUAAUGUGAACCGAGAAAUAAAAUCUCUUUGUAUCCACUACAUCGUAGUAUGCAAGUCCAAGUCUAAAAAUUGGUAUCGUCUAACAUUAUAUACGUUUGGGGAUAACAUAUGAUGUGUAAAAAACACCGUACGUACUUGGCGUUGUAUUAGGGUCAGACAGGAUGUUCACGUAUAUACUAACAAACAAUAAAGAUCUUGACGACGGUUAGACAACGCAUAGAAGAUAAAGAAAGUAACUAGAAAACUGAGUUCCCGCUGAGUGUUAAAACUUAUUUAAGAUGAUAAAGAUUCUAACGACUUUGUAUAGUGAAGAAAAAAGUCACUGUUCUUUAUCUGUCAUCGUUCAGGGGUCCAACUGGCUUAUUACAGGAGUACCACGACCGAACCACUGACUUCUAAACCAGAAAAACUAUUAUAAUAUAUCACCAGCUCACCAGUUUGUGAACGGAGAAUCUUUGUAACCGGUAGUAUAAAACAUUAUCCGGUGCUGAACAUACUACUAUGUACAUAGAGGAACUACCAACAUCAAUUGAACUCACUUCUUUUGAACACUUAGAAGAUAUAUACAACUUACUUAUCUUCUCAGGUUAACGAACACAUACAUAACGUAUUUAUACUUAACUUA
rnacentral:rRNA from 1 species